AAUAUUGGACAAUGGGCGAAAGCCUGAUCCAGCCAUGCCGCGUGUGUGAAGAAGGUCUUCGGGUUGUAAAGCACUUUAAGGUGGGAGGAAGGGCAGUAAGCUAAGACCUUGCUGUGUUGACGUUACCGACAGAAUAAGGCCCGGGUAACUUCGUGACAGCAGCCGCGGUAAUACGAAGGGUGCAAGCGUUAAUCGGAAUUACUGGGCGUAAAGCGCGCGUAGGUGGUUUGAUAAGUUGUAUGUGAAAGCCCCGGGCUCAACCUGGGAAUUGCAUCCAAAACUGUCUGACUAGAGUAUGGCAGAGGGUGGUGGAAUUUCCUGUGUAGCGGUGAAAUGCGUAGAUAUAGGAAGGAACACCAGUGGCGAAGGCGACCACCUGGGCUAAUACUGACACUGAGGUGCGAAAGCGUGGGGAGCAAACAGG
rnacentral:rRNA from 1 species